AUGUGUGUGCCGAGCGACAAUCUUUAUUGUGCUGGGAGUAUGACCUUUUGGAUGUUAAAAAUCAUGCAUUUCCCUCCAUUUUUUGCUUUAAAAAUUAGUGCCGGCUCCUUAAUUUGUAUGGUCCUUUUAACCUCCUAUUUUAACCCUUAUCGUGAAGUUAUUGCUGCCAAUAAGCCAUCUGGAGUUUUGAACGUGUUACAGGGUCGCAGUUGCAAACUAUUCAGCGAGUAUGCUGAGUUGAUUCGGGCGAUUCCUGAGUAUGAGGUCAAGCUAAUAGAGGUAGUGAAGUAUAACAAGACAUUGCCAGUAUUGAAUUUUCACUUUAUCGUCCAUGCUCAGGGAGUAAUGAGCUACAAGGUGUGGGUGGAUGGAUAUCAAAAGUACGGUAUGGAACAUAUUUACAAGCGCAGUGCAUUGGCGUUGCACACCACUUUUUGUGACACAGUCAGUGGCAGUUUCUUUUUCACGAAUGCUCUGCGUAAUUUCACCAACUUACCUAGUAAAUGUCCGCUUAAAGUCGUAAGUAUACGUUUAUGUAAGCUGCACAUAAAAAAGUAUAAAGCUAUGAGUAUCGAGAGAAUUAUUUUGGCUUAAGAAUGAAGUGUCAUGGGCAUAGCUAGGUUAUUUUGUUGGGGAGGGCCAUAGGACCUGGUUUACCUACUACCAGGAACCGGAGGGUCUGAAGGGUAUUAAAAACCCCCUAGUCCAAGGGGGGUUCGAGGGACUUCUCCAUUAAAUUAUUGAAAUUUUGACUUUGUUUAAACGCAUUUGAUGCUUCCGUGUUUCCGUUAAUUUCUGCACAUAAAUUACGCAGUUUAAGUAUUUUCAUUUCAAAAUACUUUCGAAUUGUUACACAGAAUCACACCGCGUUAACUGUUAUCGCUGCCAAAUAUUUUUUUCCACCGGACGGAAUUUCUUUGAAAGAGGGGCCGGAUGAUACUAAUUUCAAUUUAAGAGGGGGCCAGGCCCUCCCUGGACCCUCCCCCCCCCCCCAGCUACGCCCAUAUCAAGGGUUUGUCCAUUUUCACGAAACUCGGGUGAAAAAUUGGGAUAAAAUGUCUGCACUGUGCAAAAAUGUACGGAUAACCAUUCAACAAUUGUCUUUCCCAGUCCCAAAUCCUACUCAGACUAAAAUUGACUUGGAAGAACGCCGAAGGAUUUGAAGUUCACUCUGCAAAUGAACAUGUGAAUGCGAUAAAAGUUAUUAUUUUUGUUCAGCGUUCAAAUUAUUUCAGUUCCAGUUAAUGAUUGUAAAAUAAACACAUUGAUACACAAAAAUUUAAAAGUCACGAGUUCUUUGAGCCAAAAUAGAUUAAAUACUAUCAAUCUUUCCCGCUUCUUUUCAAAUUCAAAGUAGUGCUAUAUGGUUUUGCAGCGAUACCUUUGACCAAUGAAAGGCGCGGUUUCAUUUUAGCUCUUAGCGCUCAAUCUUUAUAUUUUUGGACUAGAGAGAAACAGGAAACGAUUAAAAAUCGUGCUAUCUAAUAAAGGACAUCCUCGGCUAGGAUUUUUUGUUGCGAUGACCCAGAAAAACCACGACGCGAUGUGUGCAUCAUGCCUAUUUUAUAUCUCUCCUAUAUAUGCUCCGUAAUCUCGCCGUUUUUACACGUGUUUUUCAGGGGCACCUUUACUAUGUGCGAGGGUUUUAUUUCAAUGAGAAGUCCACACCUCCGACAUUUCCGGGCUACAAAUGGCGGUUCGACGUUCAAAUCGGGCCUGAGGGCUCACGAGACACCAACAGAUCAUCUCUCUUCAGAUUUUAUCUCCGUGUCGAGUGGCAUGAUCGCGGUGCAACGUCCUAGCCGAAAGCAAAAAUGACCCGCGGGAGCAUGAUUCCAUGAAAACCCUUUGAAACUGAACGGUGGGUUUACGUGCGAUCUGAUAUAAGACUUAAUCUGGUAGGAUUUUUUGUUGCGAUGACUCAGAAAUACCACGACGUGCGUAUUACGCCUAUUUAGAUGCGUGUCUGAAGUCUCGCAUUUACAUGGAACCUUUAUGACGGAGAGAAAGCUCAAAUUUACUUUUUGAUGCUUAAAAAUUGGAGUUUAGAAGCGAAUUUUUCGUAGAAUACGUUUCAAAGACUAGUUUUAGUCGAAAUCAUUAAUAUCUUGAUUUUUUGCAAAAACUCCACUAAUGCGCCUCGAUGUCCGCCAAGCCCCUCAAUUGAUGAAAAUUACACACCUUCUUCUCUAAUACUUCAAGAAAAGAAAAAUUAAUUUGAGUUUGUGUGCCCUCAUUCAUAAUGUCUCGUUUUAGCGGCUCUGGUACUAGCACCUAGAGCUGCUAUUCCGGCCGGUCUCCACAGAGUAUGCUGCCAACGGUCCAUUUUCCAUUGGUUAGAGCGCGCUUUGGUACAUGGGAAUCGGCGCCAUUUUCUGCUGUUUAGGGGGGACUGAUUUUAUUUUAAUUGAUUGUUUUUUCUUGUGAGCGAAUGAUAUGUUGUGUAGUAUAUUUUUGGAAUCACGGUGAUACUGUCGAUAAUUCAAAACUGGUCUGUGCUUUAAUCUCGUAUUGAAAAAAAUUUACUUAACGUUUAAAAUCUGAAUUUUCAAAACGACAAGUUUUCGCGCCAAUAAAUCGUAUCAGCUGGGACGGGCUCGGCCAUGGUUGUAUGCGUUUCCAUGGAAGUUGUGUAGAGUUUAUAUGUGCCUUGGAUAUGAGUUAUUGGCGGGAAAAAAAUAUCGAUUCAAAACAUGCUAAUUAAAACGAAACAAUGAAAACAGUUAAUUAAUACAUAUUUCUGAAGACGAAAUUAAGAAUCUUUCUAUCUUACAUGAAACUAGCAUUCCCGGAGCCGCUCUCCAACGGCAGUGCGCUGGAGUUACUGCUUGUUUCUACUUUCAUUUCAGCUGGAGCAGAAAGCGAGCAGAAGGAGAAGAGGACGAAGAAGAAAAGAAAGAAAGAAAGAAAAAACCAGUAAUAGUUCAAAACUUUUAGAGGCUCCUGAAACGUUUCUGGGCUUGGCUUCGAGCAAUGCACAUUUUUUUAAAACGAGCAUAAAAUCAAUGAGAGUGCACCACUCAAUAAGUACAUUUUCUUACGGGCUAGGCACCUUAGGACCAUCCCAGCUCUAAGGACUGCGUACAUUACAGCCUAUGUGGUACUCAACUUGGCAUGUUUAUUAACAAUUAAUUAAUUAUGAAUACGAGUAAUUUAAAAUGGGCUUUUAUUUGGAAAUCGAAGAUUAUUCUCACCAGUAAUGUCAAUAAAUGGUGUAAAAAUAAGACAUGUCAUUUAAAAUGGUCAUUUGGUUUACAAACAAAUUUCUAAAAAAAAAAUUUAGAUUUGCUCAUAUUUCAUGCGUUCUCGUGUAUUAUCCGCACAAUUUCUUUCUGAGUUACUUUUAUAAACUUGACCGCAAAGAAGACGUAUGAAUACGCUCACUAGUUAUCUCACCUCCACGACUACAGUGAGAUAUGGGGGGGGGGGGGUGUCUGAAUUUGAACUAAUCAAAUCUUUGCUGUUUUCCCCGUGGCAGAAGAAUUUCCUGAUCACAUUUUAUCCCUACAAGACUUUCUAUUCUUGUUAGCAUUUUCAGACGAUUUCUGCCCUAACCGGUGAUGCAGAAGCCUGCAUUUUAGAAGAACAGGUCUCUUUUCACAGAGCCAGUUUUGGUUGGGCUUUCGACAACCUUCAAUUCAAAGGAGGCCAGAAAAAAUCAGACAGAUCAGUGAAGUGUUUGUCUAAUAUUCUGCCGUGCUUACGAAAAACGCCGUAUAUGAGCCUCCAGACGUUGGCAUGCUCUCUGUGACAAAUCAUGUUUAUCCAGGCAAUUUCAAAGUAUUUUUCGCCCAAUUUUACGGAGAACUUCGUUUGUAAUUUUAUCUAAAUUGUCUGAAAAUUUCCAUGAAACAUAUUCAUAACUUUCCCGAAAAACAAGUAUAUUCUGAGAAUAAAUUUGGUACUAUUCGAAUAUUCAUACGGCGUUUUCCCUUAACGCGGCAGUAUUGGUCUAGCUCUUAAAACCUCGUAAUUUAUGGCACACGCAUCAUCCAUUUGAAAUAAUUACUCCUAAUGCAGAAUCAUUUUAACAAAUCAGAACAUAGAUUCUUUAGAUGUUUUGACUAGGUAUUCGGAUCAAACGCCGCAUUGGCACGGGUUGGUUUGGAGCUGCUGA
rnacentral:lncRNA from 1 species